GCGAAUUGUAUUUUGUAAUUUUAUUUUGCAGAAUUUUUAAAAGCUGUGCAUCACUAUUAACAAAUAUGGCUUAUAAAUAAUUCUUUGAUAUAUAAAUGUUUAGUGAUGUGCAAAUACUUUCUAUCGGAGCACUCAAUAUAUAGAUGUAAGAGCUUAAAAGUGAAGAAUCUAAAUAAGAGUGUGCUCGAAUGCUACUACUAAAGUUCAGUGAAUAAUCGACCCCAAUAGUGAAUAAAAAAUUUAAUUGCAAAUAAUCUUAUUUAACGAACUUGCGAGCAAACGCAUUAAUAUUAAUGGUGUCGGAUUACAUAUUGAGAUUGUAAAAAGGUAGUCUGUUAACCGGACUCAAAGCACAGCAUUUUAUGGUAAUUCUCAUUAGAUCAAACGUUCAUUAAUUGAAAUGCAAUCUUAGUAAUGGAGAAUAUUCAUUAACAUGGGUAGAUGAAGUCAAAGCUUUUUAAACGAAGAAAAACCAUGAAUAAAUGAAUCAGCCAAAACAAAUAUAUGAAGAAUGUGAAUUGUGGGAAAAGAAGCAUACUGUAGCAAGCAAAAAAAAAAAAAAAAACGAACAUCAAACAAGACUUGUAUGAACGUAACCUUUGCAACCAAAAGCUUUGUAGUGUUCAACAAAUAAUAUCCGUUCGCCAUCAAUUCCCUACCAAAUUCAAAGCAUACUUUUAGGGUAAAAUGGUAAGAUAGAGUGCUAUUGCCAU